AUUGAACGCUGGCGGCAUGCUUUACACAUGCAAGUCGAGCGGCAGCGCGGGGGCAACCCUGGCGGCGAGCGGCGAACGGGUGAGUAAUACAUCGGAACGUGUCCCGUCGUGGGGGAUAACCCGGCGAAAGCCGGACUAAUACCGCAUAUGCUCUACGGAGGAAAGUGGGGGACCCGCAAGGGCCUCACGCCAUGGGAGCGGCCGAUGUCCGAUUAGCUUGUUGGUGAGGUAAAGGCUUACCAAGGCGACGAUCGGUAGCUGGUCUGAGAGGAUGAUCAGCCACACUGGGACUGAGACACGGCCCAGACUCCUACGGGAGGCAGCAGUGGGGAAUUUUGGACAAUGGGGGCAACCCUGAUCCAGCCAUGCCGCGUGCGGGAAGAAGGCCUUCGGGUUGUAAACCGCUUUUGUCCGGGAAGAAAAGGCAUUUCCUAAUACGGAAUGCUCUUGACGGUACCGGAAGAAUAAGCACCGGCUAACUACGUGCCAGCCGCCGCGGUAAGAC
rnacentral:rRNA from 1 species